UCUAUUUAAUUACCUGUUCAUUUGUUUGUGUUCCCCAUUAGACUGUAAGCCCCAUCAGGUUUACUGCUCAAGAAUCCAGGACUUAUGCCUGAAUAAGUGAAUGAAAAAUAAUCAUUCAAUACACAAAUAACAACUUCCAAAUGGACUGAAUAUUUAAAUAUACAGAACAAAUUUUCUAAACAACUAACAAAGGAUAAAUAUCCAUCUGUUUUUGGCAUGGGAAAGCCUGUCAAAGCCUACAAGCAGAUGUGUACAUUACCAAUAAAGCAAUUGAUUAUAGGUCAGCAUAAAAGGAAGAACUAUAUGGCAGUAACAAAAAACACCAUCAACUAUAUUGGAAGCCAAAUGACAAGUUGGGGGAAAAUAUUUGCAAGCUAUAUCAAAUAAGUGGUAAAUAUCCAUAAAUUUUUUUAAAGCUCUUAAAUAUUGAUAUGAGAGAAACAAAUCCUUCACUAGAAAAGUACACCACAAUAUGAAAUGUAUAUUGCAGAGGAAGAAACACAAAAUGACAGAUAAAUAUGUGUAGUGAAUACCAACCAAUGAAUGUUUAUUGUGUUUAAAAUUGUGUCGGGCAUGUGCUAAGCAAUUUACAGUGUUAACCCAUUAAUUCUCAAAAUGUGCUAAUGAGUUAGAUGCUAUUAUUAUUCUCUUAUUUAUCUUACAGAAGAGGAAACUGAGUCACAGAGAGGUUAAGUAACUUUUCCCAAAUCUCACGGUAGUAGUGGAGCCUGGAUUUAAACCCAGACAAUCGAAUCUAACAGCUCACACACUUAAAAGCUCGGCAGUCCCUUGAUGCUGUAAUGAUGUUGGGGAAAAUACUUCACCUUGUUAACAACAAAUCAACAUAAUAAUGUACAAGACUUGGUUGAUUAAAUUGGGAGCUUUAUACACCAUUAACAAUAUGAAGAAUUGAGUAAAAGGGACUUUCAUAAAUUGCUGAUUUGACUCUUCGGACGCGCAGGCCAAGAGGCCAUGGCUCACGGGCCCAGCCGCUCCGUGGCAUGUGGGAUCCUCCCGGACCGGGGCACGAACCCGCGUCCCCUGCAUCGGCAGGCGGACUCUCAACCACUGCGCCACCAGGGAAGCCCCCUGACUCCUGGUUUUGAAGUUUGAUAGCUUUUAUGUAUUCUCACUCUUCUGUAUAACUGGGCAAGCACUUUAAGUAUACUUUGGAGCUGCAGACACAGCGGAGACAAGCAUGUAUGGGAGUAUUCACCAAGCUUUUCCUCAUAUCCCAGAGUGGUGCAAAUGCAGAGUGGGGAGCAAAUUGCUAUUGCACUACGUCUGAUAUUUUCUAUGUAUAUUCUCUUUGC